UAAACAAAACGCAGCAGAAUUUCCCUUUACAAGACCAUGUUACAAGCUAUCGGGUGCUCAACUUUGAUUCUUUCCUCAAAGGCUGAAAUAGAGUGGUAUAAAUAUUUGCAAACUCAGAUAGCCCCUAGCUAGUCCACCCACAGGCAUUCUGCACACAAACACAAUAGCAUCAUUACAUCGGAGGGAGCAACAAAAGCUUUCUGCCAGCAAUGGCGGAGCUUUUGGGCAUGAUUGCGAGUGCCGCGGGUGAAACAACUGGCUAGCAAGCUUGGCGAGGUUGUGAAUGAGGAGAUCGCUCUGCUGUGGGGGUUCCAGGACGAAGUGGAAGGCUUGGAGGAGAAAAUGAAAGAUUUAGAGGCCGUGAUGCAUGAUGCUGACGAUAGGCUGCGCCGAGGAGAAAGAGAUGGGGAGUCAGUUGGGCGGAAGUGAUGCAUGAUCCACCACCACGAGCUCUAGUUCAUCUGUUGAUGAUCGAAAUGUAGGUCUGAUCUAGAGGCAACAACCAGUGGAGGAGCCCUGAACAAGCCCACAUAUUUCUGAAAAUCUAGUCAUAUUUGCUAACUUCCACAUCUUCAAUUGCAGCUGCAUUGCGAGGAAGUUUUACUCAUUGUUGGAGAGGGUAGGAUGCGGUUGAAGAGUGAAACCGGUAAUAGCAGAGCAUGGAGAGGCAAGUUAAAUUUCUGCAGGCAUUAGCACCUGCAAAGUUGUGAUGAGGAAGGAAGGAACCUUGCGGGAGAAAGUUCCAGAACAUCCACGCUUUUCUCUGCAAAUUCACAGCUGAGGGUGAGCAACAGGCGGAGCUGGACGCGCCAUGGAGUUUCAACAUGGGAAGAUGGAAUGGAACACUGCUUCUGAAAAGCAGAUUGAAACAACCCGCUUCGCUGUAUGUUGGUUUCUAUGGAGAGAGCAAGUGAAAUCGUUGAAAUAGAGACAGAGACUGCAUAACUCAUCGACGUUGCGACAACAUUCUCUACGCUUGUACAGGCGGGAAACCCCUUUCUCUCUUUUGCUCACGUAUUGGUGCAACUCUAGUUUAGAUUUCUGACCUUUCUUCUUAUCCCAGGUGGGAUCGCACAACUGUUGGUCUGGUCAGCUAAGACAGCAGUCAGACUGAGUCGUGAUGGGAGUAGAAGGCGAAGGUCAGAGUUCUCUGUCGGAUGGAACAAUGAAUGACAGAAUGAAUAAUCGUGAUGGGAGUAUGAUACACAUUGUUUUCGCUAUUGUAUUUCUGAGUGCCAGCUAGAGAUGGCAUCAGACCAAUGUACAUUAUUUGUGAUGUACAUGCUUGUUUUCAUGGUGCACUUAGAAUCCCUGUGUGUGUGCUCAUAAGAUAGCUAAUAAUUACUUGGUUUGUUUGCAUAUCUAAUA